AAUAGAUACCCCGGUAGUCCACCCCGUAAACGUUGGGAACUAGUUGUGGGGUCCUUUCCACGGAUUCCGUGACGCAGCUAACGCAUUAAGUUCCCCGCCUGGGGAGUACGGCCGCAAGGCUAAAACUCAAAGGAAUUGACGGGGACCCGCACAAGCGGCGGAGCAUGCGGAUUAAUUCGAUGCAACGCGAAGAACCUUACCAAGGCUUGACAUACACCGGAAACGGCCAGAGAUGGUCGCCCCGCAAGGUCGGUGUACAGGUGGUGCAUGGUUGUCGUCAGCUCGUGUCGUGAGAUGUUGGGUUAAGUCCCGCAACGAGCGCAACCCUCGUUCUAUGUUGCCAGCACGUAAUGGUGGGAACUCAUGGGAUACUGCCGGGGUCAACUCGGAGGAAGGUGGGGAUGACGUCAAAUCAUCAUGCCCCUUAUGUCUUGGGCUUCACGCAUGCUACAAUGGCCGGUACAAAGGGCUGCAAUACCGUGAGUGGAGCGAAUCCCAAAAAGCCGGUCCCAGUUCGGAUUGAGGUCUGCAACUGA
rnacentral:rRNA from 1 species